rnacentral:rRNA from 1 species
AAUAUAAGUGAUGGCGACCGGCGCACGGGUGAGUAACACGUAUCCAACCUGCCGAUAACUCGGGGAUAGCCUUUCGAAAGAAAGAUUAAUACCCGAUGGUAUAAUAAAGCCGCAUGGUUUAAUUAUUAAAGAAUUUCGGUUAUCGAUGGGGAUGCGUUCCAUUAGGCAGUUGGUGGGGUAACGGCCCACCAAACCUUCGAUGGAUAGGGGUUCUGAGAGGAAGGUCCCCCACAUUGGAACUGAGACACGGUCCAA